UCCAUUGGCUGCAGAGCCUGGAAACGGCGUUCGCGCUUCCGAGGGAGCCGCCUCCCUGCUCAAAGUGGCGCGGGAGGGCGUGGCCCCCUCGGAAGUCUUCCCUCUCCUCCCAUCUGGCCGCAGGCUUUGUAACUGAAGGAUGCUUUGACAACACAAAGCAGAGCCCAGCUCCGUGAGGUUUACUGGUUCGUUCUGCGGUCCGUUUGCUUGGUGUAGUUCUCAGAAUGGGUCUUUAACCACUAAUCUUAGACACUCUAAUACGGAAGGAAGUAAGGGAUGAAAAGAGAGAAAAGAAAUAUGUCAGUGAACAGAAUAGUGAGAGACUAGGAAAGCCAGCUCCGUAUGCCCUUCAUAGAGUCAUCAUUGGAGAGAGUGAGUCCAUCAUGACAGGGCGGAGGCAGCAGGCAGGCAUGGUGGCUACAGAAGGAUGCAGGACCGAGCAGGAGAGAAACUUCUGUCAACAUGAUACUCAGAGACAGACAAUGAACCUCUGGACCUAAGAAGAACUCAGUCCGACUGUGCUCACAGUAGCAGACAUGGGCUGACCAACUCAGCUACUGUCCAAGCCCAGAUCCAGAGCUUUAGUGGGUCCACACAACAUUUACUCCAUCUGUGACCUGCUGGAGUGUACAAAGGAGCUGAUCCUGUAAACCAGAUGUCAUUGCUGAAGAGGACCAGCCAGCCCCCAGCAUGGAGCUGCUGUGGCUCCAGCCUAUGCUGCUUGCCCUGCUGGGAGAUGGAAAUCAAGGGGCACUGGUGCUGCCUGGAGUCUACAAGCACAGAGGGUGAGCCUCAGAGAACCCGACAUCGAGGACAGGGAGGUGUGUGGCAGCCUGGAGCUUGAUUGGAACCCGCCCCCAGGCCCUCUGCCUAGCCUAAACAUCAUCCUGACUCUGAGCAGGAUAUCUGAGAGGAGUCUCAGCAAUAGUCCAGUCUUUAUGGUGCUUCAGAAACUAGACUCCUUGAACCAGACCAAUGACUUGUUGCUGUUCAGUUGGAACCUCCAGCUUGCCCAUGCAUGAUCCAGAAAACCCCAUUCCUGUCUCUGUCUCCAAACCCCAUUCCCUCAGAGUCUUUGAGCAAAGGAAAGGCGCCAAAAGCCCUGUUGCUCUUUCUUGGUGGCUACUGCAGCUUUCUUCCCUGAAGCUGACAGCCACCAAGUCCCCACUAAAGCACUCAGGUGUUCACCACACUUGGGCACAAACCCAGAUUGUGGCAGGCAUGUUAUUACCCCUCACCUGCAAUCUAAAGUCUUCCUGCUCUCAACCUAUAAAGUCUCCGUGCCUUCCUUUGUGGGCACAGCUUCUCUGCCCUCUAUCUCUGGUACUGGAGAACCCGUCAGAGGCUACUUGGCUCAAAUA